UGCCGGGGCAGGGUACUCCCCUGUACAACGACUACAUUGAUCUUUAUCGGCGUCCGUUGCCUCAGCAAACCACAAUUUCUAGGUCUGCCACUUUCUGAAACAAUAUUAUAAUAUCAUUCACUUUAGCUGUAUAUUUGCACUCUCCAUUAUGCAGGAAUACACAAUGAAAAGAAAAGGUGGGCCACAUACCAAGGAAUGUUAGAAACCUACCGAGAUGGUUUAAACAAAUCAAAUAUGCAAUCCAACAAGACAAUCAGCAAAAUCGCAAGAUUAGAAAGGAGAAUGACACUUCAAGAGAGAGAAACAGAAGGUCUUCAAUCAUACAUGGAGAUGUGCCAGGCUCCGCAGACACACAAAAAGGACAACCUUUGAUACAUGUGAAGGCAAGUAACUCAACAAAAAAAGCAAAAGACACAAGACUACAUAGGAAAAGAAAAAUGCAAACCAAGAGGGUUGCAGAACCAUCAACAAAAGAAGGAGAUUCGCCCGGCUGAUAAAACUAUGAGGUAUGCAAAAAAUAAAUUACAAUCAGCAUCUAAAAUUUGGAGAUUCGUGGACCUGAUAUUUUCUGUUAUGUGCGUGUACAAC